rnacentral:rRNA from 1 species
CUACGGAACUCCUACGGGAGGCAGCAGUGGGGAAUUUUGGACAAUGGGGGCAAGCCUGAUGCAGCGACGCCGCGUGAGGGAUGGAGGCCUUCGGGUUGUGAACCUCUUUCGCCAGUGAAGCAGGCCUGCUCCUGUGUGGGUGGGUUGACGGUAGCUGGAUAAGAAGCGCCGGCUAACUACGUGCCAGCAGCCGCGGUAAUACGUGGGGCGCGAGCGUUGUCCGGAAUUAUUGGGCGUAAAGAGCUCGUAGGCGGCUGGUCGCGUCUGUCGUGAAAUCCUCUGGCUUAACUGGGGGCUUGCGGUGGGUACGGGCCGGCUUGAGUGCGGUAGGGGAGGCUGGAACUCCUGGUGUAGCGGUGGAAUGCGCAGAUAUCAGGAAGAACACCGGUGGCGAAGGCGGGUCUCUGGGCCGUUACUGACGCUGAGGAGCGAAAGCGUGGGGAGCGAACAGGAUUAGAAACCCCGGUAGUCCUCUUCGA